rnacentral:lncRNA from 1 species
UGACAUGAAUGAAGGAGAACCUAACACACUUAAGGAGUUUAAUUUUAAAGCAUCCAAUAUGAUGAGAUGGCCUCUGGACACAGUAGUCUAGGCUGUCUGGCCACAGAUCAGAUGCAGUAUUUAUGUUAUCACUGCUUCAUGACUGGGUCUCACAUGAAAUGUGUCCUUUGCAAAGUGAAAGAAUUUAAUGCAGCAAGUUCCCUUUUAUCCAUCCUUUGCCUCCGUAGCCAUCGGGACACAGCGAAUGCCUGGGUACAGUAUGGUUUCUCUGGGUAUUGAUCUGGAAACCUAGGAACUAGCAGAUUUAGUAAGGAGAUCUAAUAAUCUCUAAAAAUACUGUAGACAUUCCAAAUUUACAGAGAGCUUCUAGAAGUCUACUUGUUUGUAAGCCCCUAAAGACCUUAAUUAUAGACUAGCUGAUACUACCCUUUGUUGGUGGACAGAGUUGGCAGGCAUAUUUAGACAUGGCAUUAUAUUUGUGCUCUUAUAUAAUUGAAAACUCACUUGUUAAUAAGCUCCUAUAAAUAACUGAGAGGUAGUAUUUUCUUGUGUAUUGCAUUGUAUAUAUCUGAAUCUUUUGUGUCAACUUGUGGUUAUCUCACUGGUCAAGCUAACAUGAUUUAUUGGCCAUGAAUAGAGAGCUAAAUCCCUACUAACCUAAUUGAUGUGUUGGCCUGCCUAUAGAAUUCUUGGCAGUUAGAGUUUCUUACAAAACUUUGCUGUGGUGUCUUGUUCCCUAGAGGGAACAUUGCACUUUAGGAUAGUAUGUGAUAAGAACCAAGAUGAUGAAAUAUGUUUUGAGACUUUGAGACAAUUCUCAGUGCAGUUAAAACUGCAGUUAAUUGGUGUCUAUAGCAUAGUCAUCUGCAUUAUAAAUGACACUUUCAAAGUCACAGGAUGAGGAAGAUAUACUACCAGCUGUGCACAGCUACUUUCAGAGCAGUGCUAUCUCCAGGGUGUUGGGAGAAACUAGACUUGGUCUCCAGUUCUAGGUUCAGCUGAAUUGCUUUGUCUUAUACUGAAGAGUGCUCCUAUUUCAGCUGGUCUGUCCCCUUGUCUCCAGACAGGUCUUUCUAUACAUAGCUCCACUGUGGGACUCCCUGUAACUUUUUAGUUAGACAGUUCUUAAAUCUGGGUACAGAGUCAAAGUUGUAUCAUAGAUAUUAUCUUAAUACACCAUCUCAAGACUGCCAUAGCUAAUGACUAAUGAUUUAGGAUUUCAAAAGGCGUUCAUGACCACAUUCUGGGUGCCAUCAUGGGUCUGGCCACCUUCUUUGUCUCAUGCUAAGAUUUUAGCUUUUGACUAAGUGGAAGCAACUCAUAUCUUUUGUAGCACGCUAGUGUCAUUUUUUUCCUCUCUUAAACUUUUUUUUUUUUUUUUUGGAGGGGGGGAACUUUUUUUGGUUGGAGUCACAGGGCUGAGAAAAAGGGACACCUUGCCUGGAGCUAGCUGAGGGGUAACAAAAGGUAUUCAAUUCUACGACAAUCUUGUACAGGUUUUCUCAUUCAGUAGAGCAUAUGUUGUGUUAGUUUAGGCUUUUUGUUUGAAAGUUU